GGAAGUAAAAGUCGUAACAAGGUUUCCGUAGGUGAACCUGCGGAAGGAUCAUUUAAGAGUAAGGGUGCUCAGCGCCCGACCUCCAACCCUUUGUUGUUUAAACUACCUUGUUGCUUUGGCGGGACCGCUCGGUCUCGAGCCGCUGGGGAUUCGUCCCAGGCGAGCGCCCGCCAGAGUCAAACCAAACUCUUGUUUUUUUACCGGUCGUCUGAGUUUAAAUUUUGAAUAAAUCAAAACUUUCAACAACGGAUCUCUUGGUUCUCGCAUCGAUGAAGAACGCAGCGAAAUGCGAUAAGUAAUGUGAAUUGCAGAAUUCAGUGAAUCAUCGAAUCUUUGAACGCACAUUGCGCCCCUUGGUAUUCCGAGGGGCAUGCCUGUUCGAGCGUCAUUUCACCACUCAAGCUAUGCUUGGUAUUGGGCGUCGUCCUUUGUUGGGCGCGCCUUUAAGACCUCGGCGAGGCCACUCCGGCUUUUGGCGUAGUAGAAUUUUUUCGAACGUCUGUCAAAGGAGAGGAACUCUGCCGACUGAAACCUUUUUUUUUCUAGGUUGACCUCGGAUCAGGUAGGGAUACCCGCUGAACUUUAGCAUAUCAAUAAGCGGAGGA
rnacentral:rRNA from 1 species